rnacentral:rRNA from 1 species
UACAGAGGUCCCAAGCGUUGUUCGGAUUCACUGGGCGUAAAGGGUGCGUAGGCGGUCGGGUAAGUCUGAUGUGAAAUCUCACAGCUUAACUGUGAAACUGCAUUGGAUACUAUCCGGCUCGAGGAAUGGAGGGGAGACUGGAAUACUUGGUGUAGCAGUGAAAUGCGUAGAUAUCAAGUGGAACACCAGUGGCGAAAGCGAGUCUCUGGACAUUUCCUGACGCUGAGGCACGAAAGCCAGGGGAGCAAACGGG